UACGAAGGGGGCUAGCGUUGCUCGGAAUCACUGGGCGUAAAGGGUGCGUAGGCGGGUCUUUAAGUCAGGGGUGAAAUCCUGGAGCUUAACUCCAGAACUGCCUUUGAUACUGAGGAUCUUGAGUCCGGGAGAGGUGAGUGGAACUGCGAGUGUAGAGGUGAAAUUCGUAGAUAUUCGCAAGAACACCAGUGGCGAAGGCGGCUCACUGGCCCGGUACUGACGCUGAGGCACGAAAGCGUGGGGAGCAAACAGG
rnacentral:rRNA from 1 species